rnacentral:rRNA from 1 species
UACAGAGGUCUCAAGCGUUGUUCGGAUUCAUUGGGCGUAAAGGGUGCGUAGGCGGCGCGGUAAGUCGGGUGUGAAAUCUUGGAGCUUAACUCCGAAACUGCAUUCGAUACUGCCGUGCUUGAGGACAGGAGAGGAGACUGGAAUUUACGGUGUAGCGGUGAAAUGCGUAGAUAUCGUAAGGAAGACCAGUGGCGAAGGCGGGUCUCUGGACAGUUCCUGACGCUGAGGCACGAAGGCCAGGGGAGCAAACGGG